rnacentral:lncRNA from 1 species
GAAUUUAUUUAUAGCCACAAAUAAAAACAGGUAACAUUUACAAUACUAUAAACAUAUUAAAUACCUAGGGAUAAAUUUAACAAAAUAUGUAUAAGAUCUGUACACAAAAAAAUCAUAAAAUUAUUGACAGAAAUUAAAGGACGUUUAAAUAAGUAGAAAGAAAUACUAUGUUUAUGGAUAGGAAGAUUCAAUAUUGUAAAGUUUUCACUUUUGUUGUAAUUGGCCCAUAUAUUUAAUUCAAUUACACUCAAAUCCCAACAAAGUGGGGUUUUUGGUUUUGUUUUGUUUUGUUUUUCUUUUCGAGGUUUUUUUUUUUUUUUUUUUGAAGGAGGACGGGUUGAAGAGUGGAUAGUGGAACUUGGCAGGUUGCUUGUCAAAUGUAUCAGAGCUG